UACAGAGGUCCCAAGCGUUGUUCGGAUUCACUGGGCGUAAAGGGUGCGUAGGUGGCUGGGUAAGUCUGAUGUGAAAUCUCUGAGCCUAACUCAGAAACUGCAUUGGAUACUAUCCAGCUCGAGGGUUGGAGGGGGGACUGGAAUGCUCGGUGUAGCAGUGAAAUGCGUAGAUAUCGAGCGGAACACCAGUGGCGAAGGCGAGUCCCUAGACAACUCCUGACACUGAGGCACGAAAGCCAGGGGAGCAAACGGG
rnacentral:rRNA from 1 species